rnacentral:rRNA from 1 species
CCUACGGGGGGCAGCAGUGAGGAAUAUUGGUCAAUGGCCGGAAGGCUGAACCAGCCAUGCCGCGUGAAGGUCAGUGCCCUAUGGGCGUUAAACUUCUUUUGUGCGGGAGCAAUAAUGGUCACGUGUGGCCAGACGAGAGUACCGUACGAAUAACCAUCGGCUAACUCCGUGCCAGCAGCCGCGGUAAUACCGGGGGUGCAAGCGUUAUCCGGAUUUAUUGGGUUUAAAGGGUGCGUUGGCUGUGAGGUAAGGCAGCGGGGAAAUGCCCCCGCUCAACGGGGGGAAGUGCCAUUGAUACUGCCUAGCUGGAGUGCGGAUGCGGUGGGAGGAAUGUGUGGUGUAGCGGUGAAAUGCAUAGAUAUCACACAGAACACCGAUUGCGAAGGCAUCUCACGAAUCCGCGAUUGACGCUGAUGCACGAAAGCGUGGGUAUCAAACAGGAUUAGAUACCCGAGUAGUC